UGGGGAAUUUUGCACAAUGGGGGAAACCCUAAUGCAGCGACGCCGCGUGAUUUAGAAGGCCUUCGGGUUGUAAAAAUCUUUUUUACGGGAUGAAAAUGACAGUACCGUAAGAAUAAGGUCCGGCUAAAUACGUGCCAGCAGCCGCGGUAAUACGUAUGGACCGAGCGUUGUCCGGAAUCAUUGGGCGUAAAGGGUACGUAGGCGGCCUAGUAAGUUAGAAGUGAAAUAAUAUAGCUCAACUAUAUAAAGCUUUUAAAACUGCUAGGCUUGAGAGAUGGAAGGGAAAGUGGAAUUCCUAGUGUAGCGGUGAAAUGCGCAGAUAUUAGGAAGAAUACCGGUGGCGAAGGCGACUUUCUGGUCAUCAUCUGACGCUGAGGUACGAAAGCGUGGGUAGCAAACAGG
rnacentral:rRNA from 1 species